AGAGUUUGAUCAUGGCUCAGAUUGAACGCUGGCGGCAGGCCUAACACAUGCAAGUCGAACGGUAACAGGAAGCAGCUUGCUGCUUCGCUGACGAGUGGCGGACGGGUGAGUAAUGUCUGGGAAACUGCCUGAUGGAGGGGGAUAACUACUGGAAACGGUGGCUAAUACCGCAUAACGUCGCAAGACCAAAGAGGGGGACCUUCGGGCCUCUUGCCAUCAGAUGUGCCCAGAUGGGAUUAGCUAGUUGGUGAGGUAACGGCUCACCAAGGCUACGAUCCCUAGCUGGUCUGAGAGGAUGACCAGCCACACUGGAACUGAGACACGGUCCAGACUCCUACGGGAGGCAGCAGUGGGGAAUAUUGCACAAUGGGCGCAAGCCUGAUGCAGCCAUGCCGCGUGUAUGAAGAAGGCCUUCGGGUUGUAAAGUACUUUCAGCGGGGAGGAAGGUGUUGUGGUUAAUAACCGCAGCGAUUGACGUUACCCGCAUAAGAAGCACCGGCUAACUCCGUGCCAUCAUCCGCGGUAAUACAGAGGGUGCAAGCGUUAAUCUCGACUUACUGGGCGUAUAGCGCACCCAGGCGGUCUGUCAAGUCUGAUGUGAAAUCCCCGGGCUCUUCAUGGGAACUGCAUUCAAAACUGGGAUGCUUGAAUCAUGUAGAGGGGGGUAGAACUCCAGGUGCAACGGUGAAAUGUGAAGAGAUCUGGAGGAGUACCGAUAGCUAAUGUGGCACCCUGUAUGAGGACUGACUCUCAGAUGCGAAUGCCUGGGGAGCUUACAGGAUUAGAGAACCCGGUGUUCCAAGACUACAACCAUAUCUAUUUGGAGGUUGUGCCUCUGAGGCGUGACUUCUUGAGCUCACACGUUUUUUCAACCGCCUGAGGAGUAAGGCGGCGCGGUUGUUUCACAAAUGAUUUGACCCGGGCCCCCAAAAACCUUGUAGGGGCUACCUUCAAUACGCGGGGGGACGAAUAUCAUUCCCGGGAAUGACGACCACAGAAUGGGGGUUCACAACCCGAAACCGGCUUUUUGAAAACCCUUGAGACGUUCUCCACCCCGGAUAUGGCGGGGAC
rnacentral:rRNA from 1 species